UACAGAGGUCCCAAGCGUUGUUCGGAUUCACUGGGCGUAAAGGGUGCGUAGGCGGUCGGGUAAGUCUGACGUGAAAUCUCCAAGCUCAACUUGGAAAUGGCGUCGGAUACUAUUCGGCUGGAGGAAUGGAGGGGAGACUGGAAUUCUCGGUGUAGCAGUGAAAUGCGUAGAUAUCGAGAGGAACACCAGUGGCGAAGGCGAGCCUCUGGACAUUUCCUGACGCUGAGGCACGAAAGCCAGGGGAGCAAACGGG
rnacentral:rRNA from 1 species